AACCCCUCAAGCCUCGCUUGGUGUUGGGCGUCUGUCUUGCCGUUGUGCAUCGACUCGCCUUGAAACGAUUGGCAGCCGGUAUACAGGCUUCGAGCGCAGCAGAUUUGCGUCUUGGGCCUGUGCACUGGUGUUCCAGCAAGCCUCAUCUA
rnacentral:misc_RNA from 1 species